CGCGGCAGAGCGAUCCGCACGUUCCGCAAUGCGCACCGCAGCCUGUCGCGGUCUGAUUACGUCACCGCCAGAAGUGCUGCUGGGUGAUUUUCCGGUGUUGGUCGCUGCUGCUGCCUGCAAAUGAGCAAGCGGAAAGUGCUGCAGGAGAGCCUCAACCAGGGCAUCGCAGACUUCCUCAUGGCUAGGGAAUUACGACCGCGACGUGAACCGAGCCAUUCACAACUACGACGCGUACAGAUACCGCCUCCUUCCUCAGGGCUGCUUUUUUCUCUUCCCUGCCGGAGCGCCCCGCUCCCAUCUCUCGGGGGCCCGGCCCGGCCUCGCCGCAGGGCUGAGCGCGCUGCUCUUUUCUGGCCGCUGACCGACGCCGUUCCGCAGGAAAGCAGACUGUCGUUUCUCGGUACCCCAGCAGAAUACGGAGUGAAGCCGAAGCUAAGAAGCUGGUAGGUACCGGGGCGAAUUUGAGCUUCUUAGCGUGGAGGAACUGUGUUAGGAUGGUAUCGAGGUUUCUAGGAGGAGGGAAGCUGUGUACGAAUGACUCUGCUUGCAUCAGCUUCUGCUGGCAGCCGGCUCAGGGAAGGGCGAGUGGAGCAUAUGGGCUGCAGGGAUUUCAUAGGUGGAAUUGGAGACGCCAGCUGGGUCUCUUCUGUGAAAGGCUUCUACUGUGGCAGGUUUCCCCUUUGCUGUGUUACUGUCUCACUAAGUUUGGGAGUUGUAGGAAUCUACAAUUGGUUUAAAAUAACUGUUUGCAGGGGACUUGUAAUACAGCACUUGAAGUACUCUGUGCUACUUGUGUUGUACCCUUCAGUGCUUCUGAUCUCUUACAGACCAAUGUUUUAAAAUGGUUUCUGUGACUUCACAGUUCUUUUUAUUGAGCUUUAUUUUUCUUAGGUAUGAUGGCUGUAAGUGACCUUGAAAUUGACUUGUAGUUAAUCCUUCCUCAAUGUUUAGGAUGGAGUAGAUGCUAAAAUAGCUGAGAAAAUAGAUGAGUUUUUAUCUACUGGACAGCUUCACAAAUUGGAAAAGGUGUGUUUCUUUCCCUUGUGCUUUAUUUCUCAGUAGUUGUUUUACUUUGUACUUUGUGUAGUAGUCUGCUUGCUUUGUGCAGUUUCUGUUGCUUUCUGCGGAGAGAGUGAUGUCAAGCAGAAGAACGGUGGAGUCUGCAAAGUAAAAAGUGGGGAACAAGAAGCUUAGCCAAAGCCUCAGAACUGUCUACUUAUGAAAAUAUUUUAGAUUUUAUAACUGGCAUGUGAAUGUUUUCUGUGAGAAAUGGAAUUCCGACUCUGGAAGGCUGCGGAAUUGACUUUUAACCAUGCUGUUUACCUUAGCAUGGGCAGUUAAGACAGUUAAUUCACUGGAAUGGUACGUAUGGCACUGUCCUAAUGCACAAUAUUUCUGUUAGUACUGUUUUGUUCUGAUUUACAGUAGGUCUCCAAAGCAGAAUCUGACUAAGUUGUUUUAUAAGCUUUCUUUAUUUAGUGAAAUGGAGUAAAGAAGAGUUUGUUCACAUUACUAUCUUUUUGCAGAUUCGACAAGAUGAUACAAGUGCAUCCAUCAACUUCCUGACAUGAGUUACUGGUAUUGGGUAAAGCUUAGUUAUUAUUUGUUAGUGGUGGGGGGAAGUAGUUGUCAAAGUUGUAGAACUGCCAAUUACAGAUUCUGCAGUAGAGGAGUGGAAGUGGAAAGCUCCUGUGUGCAAGCAGAGAGGGGAAGGAGAGAGGGAGGUGAUCAAAAACUGAAUCAAAAGACUGAGAAAAGUAGAAUCAUGAAGGCAGAGUAGGAGCCUAUGAGAUUUACAGUGCAAAAUCUGAUUAGGGAGAGUAGUAUUUUUAUUAUGUUUGUAAAAGGAAAUCCAGAGCCCUGCCAACCCCUCAAAAACAGGUCUUUUCAGAAAGAUGAUAGCAGGAGAUCUAAUUCUCUCGAGGCCUGUUCUCAUUCCUAUUCUGUGCAUAGGGAAAUUUUGGCAAAAAAGAGUUCAGUUUACAGACAGGCACUUAACUUAGCCUGUGCAUAGCAGCAGAAGUCAAUAUCUUGAGUGAGAAGGACUGUGAUUCUGCUUGCUAAGAACAGGGUUGGCUAAAUAUAGAACACUUGUGCUUAAAAUCAGAACAGAUUGGAAUGCUGUGGGGAAGAAGAGGGAAAAGCAAUUGUCACGGAGUUAUCUGAGUCUGUGACAAAGGGAAAAAAAAGCCCAGGAAAGCAAACAAAAAAAAAACAACAA